CAGCAGCGUCCGCGGUAUUCCAAAUCCGUUUAAAAAACUCAGGCUUUGGCCUGGACGCUCGCUGAUCAUGGCUAAUACUGGAACUUACUGGUGUACGGCAUCUCCCCCCAAGUGCCCCGCCAGCCAAGGUACCGUGGACCGCGUACCUUGAUUUACUCCUAAUGGUCUUAACCCGGAUUCAUCCCCCAGAGUCCGG
rnacentral:sRNA from 1 species